rnacentral:rRNA from 1 species
AUUGAACGCUGGCGGCAGGCCUAACACAUGCCAGUCGAGCGGAUGAAGGGAGCUUGCUCCUGGAUUCAGCGGCGGACGGGUGAGUAAUGCCUAGGAAUCUGCCUGGUAGUGGGGGAUAACGUCCGGAAACGGGCGCUAAUACCGCAUACGUCCUGAGGGUGAAAGUGGGGGAUCUUCGGACCUCACGCUAUCAGAUGAGCCUAGGUCGGAUUAGCUAGUUGGUGGGGUAAAGGCCUACCAAGGCGACGAUCCGUAACUGGUCUGAGGGGAUGAUCAGUCACACUGGAACUGAGACACGGUCCAGACUCCUACGGGAGGCAGCAGUGGGGAAUAUUGGACAAUGGGCGAAAGCCUGAUCCAGCCAUGCCGCGGGUGUGAAGAAGGUCUUCGGAUUGUAAAGCACUUUAAGUUGGGAGGAAGGGCAGUAAGUUAAUACCUUGCUGUUUUGACGUAACCAACAGAAUAGGCACCGGCUAACUUCGU